GCAUAUCAAUAAGCGGAGGAAAAGAAACCAACAGGGAUUGCCCCAGUAACGGCGAGUGAAGCGGCAACAGCUCAAAUUUGAAAUCUGGCCCCUCGGGCCCGAGUUGUAAUUUGUAGAGGAUGCUUUUGGCAAGGUGCCGCCCGAGUUCCCUGGAACGGGACGCCGCAGAGGGUGAGAGCCCCGUCUGGCUGGCCACCGAGCCUCUGUAAAGCUCCUUCGACGAGUCGAGUAGUUUGGGAAUGCUGCUCAAAAUGGGAGGUAUAUGUCUUCUAAAGCUAAAUAUUGGCCAGAGACCGAUAGCGCACAAGUAGAGUGAUCGAAAGAUGAAAAGCACUUUGAAAAGAGGGUUAAACAGUACGUGAAAUUGUUGAAAGGGAAGCGCUCAUGACCAGACUUGGGCUUGGCGGAUCAUCCGGCGUUCUCGCCGGUGCACUCCGCCUCGUCCAGGCCAGCAUCAGCUCGCGCCGGGGGACAAAGGCUUCGGGAAUGUGGCUCCUCCGGGAGUGUUAUAGCCCGUUGCGUAAUACCCUGGGGCGGGCUGAGGUUCGCGCAUCUGCAAGGAUGCUGGCGUAAUGGUCAUCAGCGACCCGUCUUGAAACACGGACCCA
rnacentral:rRNA from 1 species